rnacentral:rRNA from 1 species
GAAACAUCUUAGUACCCGGAGGAAGAGAAAGAAAAUUCGAUUCCCUUAGUAGCGGCGAGCGAAACGGGAAGAGCCCAAACCAACAAGCUUGCUUGUUGGGGUUGUAGGACACUCUAUACGGAGUUACAAAGGACGACAUUAGACGAAUCAUCUGGAAAGAUGAAUCAAAGAAGGUAAUAAUCCUGUAGUCGAAAAUGUUGUCUCUCUUGAGUGGAUCCUGAGUACGACGGAGCACGUGAAAUUCCGUCGGAAUCUGGGAGGACCAUCUCCUAAGGCUAAAUACUCUCUAGUGACCGAUAGUGAACCAGUACCGUGAGGGAAAGGUGAAAAGCACCCCGGAAGGGGAGUGAAAUAGAACCUGAAACCGUGUGCUUACAAGUAGUCAGAGCCCGUUAAUGGGUGAUGGCGUGCCUUUUGUAGAAUGAACCGGCGAGUUACGAUUUGAUGCAAGGUUAAGCAGUAAAUGUGGAGCCGUAGCGAAAGCGAGUCUGAAUAGGGCGUUUAGUAUUUGGUCGUAGACCCGAAACCAGGUGAUCUACCCUUGGUCAGGUUGAAGUUCAGGUAACACUGAAUGGAGGACCGAACCGACUUACGUUGAAAAGUGAGCGGAUGAACUGAGGGUAGCGGAGAAAUUCCAAUCGAACCUGGAGAUAGCUGGUUCUCUCCGAAAUAGCUUUAGGGCUAGCCUCAAGUGAUGAUUAUUGGAGGUAGAGCACUGUUUGGACGAGGGGCCCCUCUCGGGUUACCGAAUUCAGACAAACUCCGAAUGCCAAUUAAUUUAACUUGGGAGUCAGAACAUGGGUGAUAAGGUCCGUGUUCGAAAGGGAAACAGCCCAGACCACCAGCUAAGGUCCCAAAAUAUAUGUUAAGUGGAAAAGGAUGUGGCGUUGCCCAGACAACUAGGAUGUUGGCUUAGAAGCAGCCAUCAUUUAAAGAGUGCGUAAUAGCUCACUAGUCGAGUGACACUGCGCCGAAAAUGUACCGGGGCUAAACAUAUUACCGAAGCUGUGGAUUGUCCUUUGGACAAUGGUAGGAGAGCGUUCUAAGGGCGUUGAAGCAUGAUCGUAAGGACAUGUGGAGCGCUUAGAAGUGAGAAUGCCGGUGUGAGUAGCGAAAGACGGGUGAGAAUCCCGUCCACCGAUUGACUAAGGUUUCCAGAGGAAGGCUCGUCCGCUCUGGGUUAGUCGGGUCCUAAGCUGAGGCCGACAGGCGUAGGCGAUGGAUAACAGGUUGAUAUUCCUGUACCACCUAUAAUCGUUUUAAUCGAUGGGGGGACGCAGUAGGAUAGGCGAAGCGUGCGAUUGGAUUGCACGUCUAAGCAGUAAGG